GCCGAUGUGGCCUAGUGGUUUGAGUGCUGUACUAUGACUUUGGAAACCAGGGUUCAAAUCCUAGCUUGGCCA